AAUUGACAGUCACUUUGGAGUCAACAUAAUUUUUGUAGGGUACCACAGACUGGACAUCCAGGGCCAGAAUCUGAGAUCCCGGGAACCGGACAAAACCACCUGCCUGAAACAGCACAGAGCACUGGUCUCCUACAGCAUCGUGGUCCUCAGGCCUUUGGACUUGGACCGAGACUUACUCUACCAGCAACCCUGGUUACCUAGUCUUUCAACACUAACAGCCAUACCACUGGCUUUCCUGGUGCUCCAGCAUGUGAGUGUGAGGGAGAAGGGCUCCACAGCUUCCAUAAUCAGGUUGGUUCCUAAAAUAACUACAGACGCGGACUGCAGGAUGACAUUUUGGGCCGUGAUGGGCUGCGUGUGAGAAGGCGGUCCAGGAAAUUGUAAUGAAGCUGAUAAAUCUCUAUCAUCUGUGACGUCACAGCCACCAUGACAUCACAGUGCAACAUGCUGUGUACAUAUUUGCGGUGAUGCUGGGUACAGACAAACCUACCGUAUGGCCAGUUAUACAAAAGUGUACGUAAGUGUAUGUA